GAUGAACGCUGGCGGCGUGCCUAGUACAUGCAGGUCGAGCGAACGGACGAGAAGCUUGCUUCUCUGAUGUUAGCGGCGGACGGGUGAGUAACACGUGGAUAACCUACCUAUAAGACUGGGAUAACUUCGGGAAACCGGAGCUAAUACCGGAUGAUAUUUUGAACCGCAUGGUUCAAAAGUGAAAGACGGUCUUGCUGUCACUUAUAGAUGGAUCCGCGCUGCAUUAGCUAGUUGGUAAGGUAACGGCUUACCAAGGCAACGAUGCAUAGCCGACCUGAGAGGGUGAUCGGCCACACUGGAACUGAGACACGGUCCAGACUCCUACGGGAGGCAGCAGUAGGGAAUCUUCCGCAAUGGGCGAAAGCCUGACGGAGCAACGCCGCGUGAGUGAUGAAGGUCUUCGGACCGUAAAACUCUGUUAUUAGGGAAGAACAUAUGUGUAAGUAACUGUGCACAUCUUGACGGUACCUAAUCAGAAAGCCACGGCUAACUACGUG
rnacentral:rRNA from 1 species